rnacentral:ncRNA from 2 species
GGGGUAACCAGCGGCGUCGGUUUCCGAAAGGAAUUGAAAGGGAAUCCGUUGUCAGAAGCGUCUGACGAACCGGAACUGCCCCCGCAACUGUAGGCGGCGAGGGGUUUCGCACCCAAAGUCACUGUGGCGCAUGCCAUGGGAAGGCCGCGAAACCUCGAUGACCCGCCAGUCAGGAGACCUGCCGACACGUCGAAACGCAA